rnacentral:rRNA from 1 species
GGAUGCGAUCAUACCAGCACUAAAGCACCGGAUCCCAUCAGAACUCCGAAGUUAAGCGUGCUUGGGCGAGAGUAGUACUGGGAUGGGUGACCUCGUGGGAAGUCCUCGUGUUGCAUUCC